AUGCACUGCCGGUUCCCGCACAUGAACUCCCGCUCGUCGCACGUGUUGUUGUACACUGCAACGAGGCGCCGCCGUCAGCCCAGGGCUCUCCCGCCGGCCCCCCAAGCCGUCUCGGGGUGCUGGGCCCAGACGACCUCGGACGGGACGGGGGCUCCCGCUCAGGAACGGAGCCUCCCUCACGGGGCUGCACCCCAGUCUGUGGCCAGGAACAGGAACCAGGCAACCGGGUGCCUUUGGCUACUGCGCCACGAGGUGACGCUCCUGCCCUCCUCGCAGCGCAGGAAAGGCACCCAAAGGCCCCGCACCCAAGUGUGCCACGACCACAGCACUGCGCAUCCCCCCCAAGAGCCUGGCGGGGAAGCGGGCAGGAUAAGGCAGGGGCCUUCUGCUACCAGGCGGGUUCUGGCCCCACCGCAGCGGCUCCCCGCACCCCACCGCACGCAGCCCAGGAGACUCACGGCAGCCRGCAGCCAGGGUCUCGUCAGCGCCGUCCGCGCAGUCCUUGUCUCCAUCACAGAGCCAGCGCUCCGGCACGCACACGUAGGUGCCUGGGCACUGGAAGGAUCCGGCGCUGCAGGUCGUCAGCCCUGCAGCAGGGACAGGCAGGAAGGCCGGUCGCUGGAGGACCUGCAUGCUGGGGAUGCGUGGCCCCACGGCGCACACGCAGGGGGGCAGCGAGGUCCAGGCACAGAAAAGCAAGGGGGGGGGGAGGCAGGGGCAGAGGCCGGAUCUCGGGGAGGGGGCAGCAGCGCGGGCACGAACAGACAGAGGUCAGAGCAGGGGCUAGAGCGACUCACGGCAGUAGCUGUCUUCAUCAGAGCCAUCGCCGCAGUCGUCUGCCCCAUCGCACACCCAGAGCUUGGAGAUGCAGCGGUGGUUGUUGCACUCGAACUGCACGGGGUAGCAGAAUUUGUCUGGGGGGAGAGGAGGAGGUUAGGGCUGGGCAGCACGGAGGAAGGAUGCCGCGGCGCGGCCAGGCUGGGCCUGUGGGCUGCAGCCCCGGGUGCCACUGCAGAUGUAGCUCGCCCAGCCCCAGCAGGGCCCGUGUACAGUGCGGACAGGCACUUCAGGAGCAGGACUGAUGGAGGUUCCCUGCUCUGGAGGGAAGCCACAGUCUGA
rnacentral:lncRNA from 1 species